rnacentral:misc_RNA from 1 species
UUUCAGUGGUUAUUCUAAGGUUCUUAAUCUUUGCUCCUUUUACCUAAAGCAUUUUGCAUCCAUCUUUUUUACAUCCUUGCUUAGGGGACUUGUGCAUAUGUCUUUUAAAUGUGUUCCUUUGUAAUAAUAUUCCUUAAUUGUUAGCAAAAGAAUUGUUAUUUUUUGUUGCUAAGUAAUAUUUAUUCUCAAAGGAGUUUGCAUCUUCAAGUAUUAAUUUCAGAUAUUUUCUUGUCGCUUUUGUUCUGCCACAUUUUGCUUCACUUUAGCUCAUGUUUUGGUGAAGUUUAUCUGUGUUCUUCACAAGUAUGACUACCCAGCUUGAAGUGUAUCUCUUAUCAUUGAAAUGAUCAUGCUACUUGGUCUCAGAAAUUGUAGUGAUGGUGGUUGCUAUUCUGUAAAUUACAUUCUUUUGCUUCUUAAAUAUUUCAGAAUGCACUGAUAGGCCGCUUACUUUUCUGGAAAAAUAAGAAAUUAUGAACUCAGAUAUGGAGUGAUUUUGUCCUAGGCUCCUAGCACUUGUUGUCUCUUACUCCAGUUAGAAUUAUAUUAAUUAGUCUUACCUCCUUUAGAAAACAAUUUUAUGAACAUGGCUUUCUUAUUAGUACGAUGUUUUCAGUCUUCUCAUAUUCAUUACAUUUCAUCCCUCUGUAGAAUGUGAAUUGCAAAAAAUAACUAAAAAUUUAAAUCUAUUGCAGGGAGAUGGCUACAAUGUUGGG